UACGUAGGGUGCAAGCGUUGUCCGGAAUUAUUGGGCGUAAAGAGCGUGUAGGCGGCCCGAUUAGUCCGCUGUGAAAGUCCAGGGCUCAACCCUGGAAUGCCGGUGGAUACUGUCGGGCUAGAGUCCGGAAGGGGCGAGUGGAAUUCCUGGUGUAGCGGUGAAAUGCGCAGAUAUCAGGAGGAACACCGAUGGCGAAGGCAGCUCGCUGGGACGGUACUGACGCUGAGGCGCGAAAGCGUGGGGGAGCAAACAGG
rnacentral:rRNA from 1 species